rnacentral:rRNA from 1 species
AGUGAACGCUGGCGGUAGGCCUAACACAUGCAAGUCGAACGGCAGCACAGUAAGAGCUUGCUCUUACGGGUGGCGAGUGGCGGACGGGUGAGGAAUACAUCGGAAUCUACUUUUUCGUGGGGGAUAACGUAGGGAAACUUAAGCUAAUACCGCAUACGACCUACGGGUGAAAGCAGGGGAUCUUCGGACCUUGCGCGGUUGAAUGAGCCGAUGUCGGAUUAGCUAGUUGGCGGGGUAAAGGCCCACCAAGGCGACGAUCCGUAGCUGGUCUGAGAGGAUGAUCAGCCACACUGGAACUGAGACACGGUCCAGACUCCUACGGGAGGCAGCAGUGGGGAAUAUUGGACAAAGGGCGCAAGCCUGAUCCAGCCAUACCGAGUGGGUGAAGAAGGCCUUCGGGUUGUAAAGCCCUUUUGUUGGGAAAGAAAAGCAGCAGGUUAAUACCCCGCUGUUCUGACGGUACCCAAAGAAUAAGCACCGGCUAACUUCGUG